rnacentral:lncRNA from 1 species
AGAACUUCCCCUAGUUAAGAUGGCGCUAAAAGUCACUGUUAUCCCCUAGAAUGGAGCUGUAGGAAUGUGCCUGUGUGACUUAGAAUGGAACAACAGAAGCAUUACAAAGACAAACAUACUGAUGAAUCUAAGCAGUGCAGCGUGAGGGGCGUGGCUUGGCGGCAAGCGAUGGCUACGGGAGUGUGCCUGUGGCUUGGCAGAGCAGAAUAUCAGCAUGGGGGUCAAGAGUAGAGAGCAGCGCCUGAAGCAGCGUUCUGUCUUCUAGCAACUCUGCUCAGGAGGGCUGCUUUACCUUAGCCGUCCCAGCAGCAGCAUGAAAGUCCACUCAAGCUCAAAUCAUGGAACCAGCUGGUCAUGGCCAGAAACUUCGGAGGUCGUGAGCCAGAAUGACCUUUCCCCUUUAGGUCGGUGUUUCAAGGAUUUGAUUUCAGGAAUGAAACAUCAAGUAAAUCAAACCUAGAAUGUCUGCAGGAACCGGAUUUAAGAUGUGGAAAGAUGACAUCUCUGGCCCGGGGUCACACAGCUAGUAGCCACUGAUUGAAUCCAGACUAUUUUAAUGAGCGUUCAGAUUCUUAGCCCUCCCGCUGCAGUGGGAAAGACUUAAUGAGAAUGUGAACUUACAAGUGAUUACUUUUUCGGCCUUUCUGACCCUUUCAUAGCAGUCUUAUUUAUAAUAGCCAGGAGCUGGAAAGAACCCAGAUGUCCUUCAACAGAGGAACGGAUACAGAAAAUGUGGUACAUUUACACAAUGGAGAACUACUCAGCUAUUAAAAAAAAAAAUGAAUUCACGAAAUUCUUAGACAAAUGGAUGGAACUAGAAAAUAUCAUCCUGAGUGAGGUAACCCAAUCACAAAAGAACACACGUGGUAUGCACUCACUGAUAAGUGGAUAUUAGCCCAAAAGCUCCAAAUACUCAAGAUACAAUUCACAGACCACAUGAAGAUCAAGAAGAAGGAAGACCUAAGUGUGGGUCCUUUGGUCCUUCUUAGAAAGAGGAACAAAACACUCACGGGAGCAAAUAUGGAGAGAAAGUGAGGAGCAGAGACUGAAGGAAAGGCCAUCCAGUGACUGCCACACCUGGGGAUCUAUCCCAGAUACAGUCACCAACUCCGACACUAUUGUGGAUGCUAAGAAAUGCUUGCUGACAGGAGCCUGAUACAGCUGUGUCCUGAGAGGCUCUGCCAGAGCCUGACAAAUACAGAGGCAGAUGCUCGAAGCCAACCUUAGCACUGAGUGCGGGGGGGGGGGGGGUCCCCAGUGGAGGAGUUAGAGAAAGAACUGAAGGAGUUGAAGGGGUUUGCAACCCCAUAGGAAGAACAACAAUAUCAACCAACCAGACUCCCCAGAGCUCUCAGGGACUAAGCCACCAACAAAGGAGUACACAUGGCUCCUGCGGCAUAUAUAGCAGAGGAUGGCCUUGUCAUGCAUCAAUGGGAGGGGAGGUCCUUGGUUCUCUGAAAACUUAAUAGAUGCCUCAGUGUAGGGGAAUUGAGGGCGGGGAGGCGGGAGUGGGUGGGUGGGUGGAGAGAGGAACACCCUCAUAGAAGCAGGGGGAGAGGGUAUGAAAUAGGGGUUUUCUGGAAGGGGAGGAAAACUGGGUAAAGGGAUAACACUUGAAAUGUAAAUAAAUUUAAAAAAAAAAAGAUUCAGAAACUUAUAAGCAAUUACUUCAUCAGCCUUUCUGACCCUUCCUGUCAAACCCCUUGUUUCCACCAGACACUGAAUAUGUACCUACUGUGUGCAAACUGUUGGCCAUAGUUCUAUGUGGGCCUCACAGACAAAGAAUAGUUGGUGCCCUUAGGAAAAUGCCCAUAGGAAGCAGACUGGUGCAGCUCUCUGGUCAGGAACACUAGCAUGGCUUUGCUGGUCCUUGAGUCCCUAGGGGUGGGCAGAUGUGACUAGAACAGGCCUCUGAAGAGGGCUGUGGGCAGGUGCGGCUGCUAGGAGAAAGCUUCUUAGAGCAUUAGCUCUCUGCCGGUUCCAGACCCAAGAACAGGCUGACUUGGCCUCAGCCACCAGCAUCCAGCUGGUCACGUGCUUCAGGCAGCUGCUCUUUGUUUUUAUCCUUCACCUGGCCUCUCUGGCCUCUCCGGUUUCUCUGGGGACAAAUUCCAGAGUUUUGGAGUUCUGCUUGGUCACCCAAGGACAGACCCUUUAAGAACUUCCAGUCCAGUGCUAGGGACAUCGUGUCCUAAGGGUCCUUCUGCCCAUCUCCAGAGUGGUAAUUAACCGUCCCUGGUAAGCCAGCAUUACGUAAGAGGAUUAUGAAACUAACAGAAGGGUCUGCGAUCUGUAUCUAUAAAUAGGCACAAAUAUCAUUACUGCGCCACUGUGAGGUUCAGAGCCAUCUAGCGGUAGAAAAUUGUAUGUGCAGCU